rnacentral:rRNA from 1 species
AACGUAGGUGGCGAGCGUUAUCCGGAUUUACUGGGCGUAAAGGGUGUGCAGGCGGGCUGUUAAGUGGUGUAUGAAAUCGCCCGGCUCAACCGGGCUAGGUUAUGCCAGACUGGCAGUCUAGAGAGCGAGAGAGGGACGUGGAAUUCCCGGUGUAGCAGUGAAAUGCGUAGAGAUCGGGAGGAACAUCUGUGGCGAAGGCGACUGCCUGGACCAGCACUGACACUGAGGCACGAAAGCGUGGGGAGCAAACAGG